AUAUUUAUGUCCCACACAUCUGAAUGAGUUGCCCCAGCCACUCUGGGCAGCUUCCAACAUAUAUAAAAUAUAGCUGUCAACUUUUCCCUUUUUUUUAAAGGGAAAUUCCCUUAUUCCGGGUAGGAUUCCUCACAAGAAAAAGGAAAAGUUGAGAGCUAUGCUAUAAAAACAUAAUAAAACAUCAAACAUUAAAAAAACAAAACUUCCCUAUACAGGGCUGCCUUCAGAUGUCUUUUAAAGAUUGUAUAGUUACUUAUCUCCUUGGCUCAAGGGUAGCAUAACUCCAUACGCUCCAACAUUUCUCCAACGAAAACAGAGACGUCCUAAGGAAAACUGGGACAUUCUGGGAUCAAAUCAGAAACCGGGACAGCUUCUGUAAAUCUGGGAAAAUAGGGACACUUGGAGGGUUUGCUAUCAUUUUGAUAUUUUGCAUUCAUCCUCACCCUCAUUUUCUUGUUAGCUGCCUUGGGAAGGAAAAACAGGCUGCAAUCUGCAAACAAAAUGGAAAUACAGAAAACUACACUAGCAUACGGCCAGUAGGUUAUCUUGUGAUUUGCUGAACCACAAACCUUGUCAACUUGCUUCCAUUUUGUUAACCAAAUGAUAACCCUGCUUUUAGUUUGGGAUGCUUUGCGCGCUCUCUCUCUCUCUCUCUCUCUCUCUCUCUGGUUUUUUGCUUUUCCUCUCCUGCAAGGAAGUGACUCACUGCUCCCAGCUGGGAGCCACAGAAAUUGGACACUUCCCUUCCAAAAGGCCUCCAUCUUCUUAUGCGCUUCAGGGGACUAUAUAGCAGCUGCACCCCUAUAUAAGACUCUAGAGGGAAAACGGGAAGAAUGUGCAUUUUUUAAAAGGAGAUAUCUUUGUCCUGUUAAAUCAAUGCACUUGGAGUAAAAUGUGUCAUUCCCCCCGCCACAUCUCCAAAAAAAGAAAGAAGCCUGCAAUAAAAUACCACAAAGGCUAAGAGCUGGAACUCCAAAACCAUGCUAUUUUUUGAUUUAACGCUGUCCCAGCUGCCUCCUUGCACAUUCAUGGCAGCUUAUUAUGACACAUCUGGAGGACUGUUGUGAGAGCCGGCCAUUCUGUGACUAAACAGGGGCUUAGCAGGCUGAACCCAUUUACACAAAGAAUAGCAGAGGGUUUGUAUCUGAGCCAGUGAGAUACCUACCCAAGCUUCACGCCAUUAAUUAACAAACGGAACAAGUCAUGUUCAGGCGCACAGGCACACAGGUUGUUGGUAUGCCCUCUUGUGGCAACUGUGACAGUUUCGUAUUUCUUACUGCAGGAAAUACAUGCCACAUUAUAUUACCCAGAAUUCUUAGGACAGGAAGUCAGGUAUGCCUAUGUGGGAAAUGCAGCAAAAUGAAGCCAUGUGUGUUACUAUCCAUGUCGGUGUUGGUACUGAUACUUUAUGUAUAUCAGUGCACUAGAUGCUGUUAGGGUGCUACACUCAAUAUGCCAGCAAGUUUGGAAAACUCAGCAGUGGCCAGAGGAUUGGAGAAGAUCAGUCUACAUCCCAAUCCCAAAGAAGGGAAGUGCCAAAGAAUGAUCCAACUACCGCACAAUUGCACUCAUUUCACACGCUAGCAAGGUUAUGCUUAAAAUUCUACAAGGCAGCCUUAAGCAGUAUGUGGACCGAGAACUCCCAGAAGUGCAAGCUGGAUUUAGAAGAGGCAGAGGAACCAGAGACCAAAUUGCAAACAUGAGCUGGAUUAUGGAGAAAGCUAGAGAGUUCCAGAAAGACAUCUAUUUCUGCUUCAUUGACUAUGCAAAAGCCUUUGACUGUGUCAACCACAGCAAACUAUGGCAAGUUCUUAAAGAAAUGGGAGUGCCUGAUCACCUCAUCUGUCUCCUGAGAAAUCUCUAUGUGGGACAAGAAGCUACAGUUAGAACUGGAUAUGGAACAACUGAUUGGUUCAAAAUUGGGAAAGGAGUACGACAAGGCUGUAUUUUGUCUCCCUGCUUAUUUAACUUAUAUGCAGAAUUCAUCAUGCGAAAGGCUGGGCUGGAUGAAUCCCUAGCCGGAAUUAAGAUUGCCGGAAGAAAUAUCAACAACCUCAGAUAUGCAGAUGACACAACCUUGAUGGCAGAAAGUGAGGAGGAAUUAAAGAACCUUUUAUUGAGGGUGAAAGAGGAGAGCGCAAAAUAUGGUUUGAAGGUCAACAUCAAAAAACGAAGAUCAUGGCCACUGGUCCCAUCACCUCCUGGCAAAUAGAAGGGGAAGAAAUGGAGGCAGUGAGAGAUUUUACUUUCUUGGGCUCCAUGAUCACUGCAGAUGAUGACAGCAGCCACAAAAUUAAGAGACGCCUGCUUCUUGGGAGGAAAGCAAUGACAAACCUAGACAGCAUCUUAAAAGUAGAGACAUCACCUUGCCAACAAAGGUCCGUAUAGUAAAAGCUAUGGUUUUCCCAGUAGUGAUGUAUGGAAGUGAGAGCUGGACCAUAAAGAAGGCUGAUCGCCGAAGAAUUGAUGCUUUUGAAUUAUGGUGCUGGAGGAGACUCUUGAGAGUCCCAUGGACUUCAAGAAGAUCAAACGUAUCCAUUCUUAAGGAAAUCAGCCCUGAGUGCUCACUGGAAGGACAGAUCGUGAAGCUGAGGCUCCAAUACUCUGGCCACCUUAUGAGAAGAGAAGACUCCCUGGAAAAGACCCUGAUGUUGGGAAAGAUUGAGGGCACAAGGAGAAGGGGACGACAGAGGACAAGAUGAUUGGAUAGUGCCUUCGAAGCUACCAGCAUGAGUUUGACCAAACUGCGGGAGGCAGUGGAAGACAGAAGUGCCUGGCGUGCUCUGGUCUAUGGGGUCACGAAGAGUCGGACACGACUAAACGACUAAACAACAACAAAGCGCUACAUGAUAUAGCUUGUGAUUGCCAGGCCACUGGGUCUGGAAAAGAAGGGAUGCACUUUCCUUAGGAAUACAGCUGUGGGGAGGUUUUGAAAGGUUAGGCAUGUAUCCAAUGCACAUCCAACCUGCAUGCUUUAAGUACUCCAUUGGUAUUGCCUCCCUGGAAUUUAUGCAACAGAUUGGAAUUCAGCUAUGCUCACCACUAUACCACCAACGCUAUACAACAGAUUGUAUCAAUGGCUGGUUCUGUAUGGGCCUGAAGUCUGCAGAGUGGGAUUUAUAAUGUGUGCACCAUCACAGUUAGGCUGGAGCUAUAGGCAGCCAUAACCAAAUCCGGACUUGGAAACUGUGUUCUCAGACACAAGAGUUUCUGAGGUUGAGGUAGGGUGUCACUUUUCACAAGGCCUCCGUUGGGAGAUAAUGGAAGAGUGUGCCUUCUGGGGUCAAGCCAAACCGCUGGAGAGUGCCUGCUGUGACCGUAGAGACCAAUACAGUAGAGAGAUGGUUUAUUGCAAGGUGGGGCAAAUGAAGUCAUCUGGUUUUGCUGCUACAGGUACUACAAGUACAAAGAUAAAUUUAGAAAUAAAGAUGCAUCUCAUCACGGUGCAGAGGAGGACUGUGACCAGGUAACCCUUGUUCCUGCUCAGUCUGCUGCCCAGGUGCUCACCACUGAUGGACAAUUUAAAGGCCUGUCCUUUUUACGUACCCUCCGACAUUUUCCCAAUGAAAAGAGGGAUGUUCUAUUCUACACCAGGAAGCUUCUCCCAUGUUUGAUCUUGUCACACACAUAGACGUCAUAUACACAGGUACACCUGUCACCUUGAGCCAAUUACAACCUCUCUGCCUCACCUACCUCACGGGAUGGUUGUAAAGAAAAAAAAUGUGUGACGGAAUGGAUCAUGUACAAGACCUCCCACAGAUAAAUGGAAUGAAAUAAAAUUUUAGCUGUAAGUUGCUUUGAGUCUCUGUCAGGGAGACUCAAAUAAUAGACG